AUGUUAAAUUGAUAUUUAGAUAUAAAUUUGUUUAAUCAAUUUUCAGAUUUGCACUACAUAUUGAGUUUUGAGAUGAGGAAUUUUAAAUGGACAAUGGACAUAGCUGUACAUUUGAAGCGGACCACCAUCAAAGGAAAAAUACAUACAACUCGCUCAGUAUAGUUUAUGUAUUACAUCUACAUAAUUCUACUGGUUUAAAUUUAAUGAUUUGCACUACAUAUUGAGUUUUGAGAUGAAGAAUUUUAAAUGGACAAUGGACAUAGCUGUUCAUUUGAAGCGGACCAUCAUCAAAGGAAAAAUACAUACAACUCGCUCAGUAUAGUUUAUGUAUUACAUCUACAUAAUUCUACUGGUUUAAAUUUAAUGAUUUGCACUACAUAUUGAGUUUUGAGAUGAGGAAUUUUAAAUGGACAAUGGACAUAGCUGUACAUUUGAAGCGGACCACCAUCAAAGGAAAAAUACAUACAACUCGCUCAGUAUAGUUUAUGUAUUACAUCUACAUAAUUCUACUGGUUUAAAUUUAAUGAUUUGCACUACAUAUUGAGUUUUGAGAUGAGAAAUUUUAAAUGGACAAUGGACAUAGCUGUACAUUUGAAGCGGACCACCAUCAAAGGAAAAAUACAUACAACUCGCUCAGUAUAGUUUAUGUAUUACAUCUACAUAAUUCUACUGGUUUAAAUUUAAUGAUUUGCACUACAUAUUGAGUUUUGAGAUGAAGAAUUUUAAAUGGACAAUGGACAUAGCUGUACAUUUGAAGCGGACCACCAUCAAAGGAAAAAUACAUACAACUCGCUCAGUAUAGUUUAUGUAUUACAUCUACAUAAUUCUACUGGUUUAAAUUUAAUGAUUUGCACUACAUAUUGAGUUUUGAGAUGAGGAAUUUUAAAUGGACAAUGGACAUAGCUGUACAUUUGAAGCGGACCACCAUCAAAGGAAAAAUACAUACAACUCGCUCAGUAUAGUUUAUGUAUUACAUCUACAUAAUUCUACUGGUUUAAAUUUAAUGAUUUGCACUACAUAUUGAGUUUUGAGAUGAAGAAUUUUAAA